GACGAACGCUGGCGGCGUGCUUAACACAUGCAAGUCGAGCGGUAAGGCCCUUUCGGGGGUACGACGAGCGGCGAACGGGUGAGUAACACGUGGGUGACCUGCCCUCAGCUCUGGGAGUAAGCCUGGGAAACCGGGGUCUAAUACCGGAUAUGACUCCAUGACGCAUGUUGUGGGGUGGAAAGCCUUGUGCGGCUGAGGAUGGGCCCGCGGCCUAUCAGCUUGUU
rnacentral:rRNA from 1 species